rnacentral:snoRNA from 1 species
AAGACUCUACUUUCAGGGAUCAUUUCUUUAGUUUGGAACUAGAGGAUUGUGUUUCUACAGAGGUUGGUCUUGCUGUCCAUGAUGAUGAUGAAUGAAGAUGUUUCCUUCAGAGCAGGAAGCUGGUGAGAAGAUGAGAAUCUUCUUCACUGAUGAAGACUGUUCAGUGUUUCUGGAUGUGACACUGAAGGAGGAAACAUUGUCUGAGUGGA